rnacentral:rRNA from 1 species
CUCGUGAAUUCAUCUCCGGGGGUAGAGCACUGUUUCGGCAAGGGGGUCAUCCCGACUUACCAACCCGAUGCAAACUGCGAAUACCGGAGAAUGUUAUCACGGGAGACACACGGCGGGUGCUAACGUCCGUCGUGAAGAGGGAAACAACCCAGACCGCCAGCUAAGGUCCCAAAGUCAUGGUUAAGUGGGAAACGAUGUGGGAAGGCCCAGACAGCCAGGAUGUUGGCUUAGAAGCAGCCAUCAUUUAAAGAAAGCGUAAUAGCUCACUGGUCGAGUCGGCCUGCGCGGAAGAUGUAACGGGGCUAAACCAUGCACCGAAGCUGCGGCAGCGACACUAUGUGUUGUUGGGUAGGGGAGCG